UUCUUGCUGAUCUGUUGAGUUUAUGUGAUGCAAUGAAGUCCACGGAUGCUAUGAAAUGGGAGAAUGCUAUGGAAGAAGAGUAUAAAUCACUCAUGGAUAAUGGAACAUGGGAAUUGACUUAACUUCUACCAAAUUGAGCUUUAAGUGGUUGUAAGAGGGUGUCUAGAACAAAGAGGGAUGCAAUGGGCAAUAUUGUGAG
rnacentral:lncRNA from 1 species